rnacentral:rRNA from 1 species
AUUGAACGCUGGCGGCAGGCUUAACACAUGCAAGUCGAGCGAGCGGCGGACGGGUGAGUAAUGUCUGGGAAACUGCCUGAUGGAGGGGGAUAACUACUGGAAACGGUAGCUAAUACCGCAUACAAUCAGAUGUGCCCAGAUGGGAUUAGCUAGUAGGUGGGGUAAUGGCUCACCUAGGCGACGAUCCCUGGCUGGUCUGAGAGGAUGACCAGCCCCACUGGAACGGAUAAACGGUCCAGACGGCUACGGGAGGCAGCAGUGGGGAAUAUUGCACAAUGGGCGCAAGCCUGAUGCAGCCAUGCCGCGUGUGUGAAGAAGGCCCUCGGGUUGUAAAACGCUUUCAGCGAGGAGGCGUUACCCGCAGAAGAAGCACCGGCUAACUCCGUGCCAGCAGCCGCGGUAAUAC